rnacentral:rRNA from 1 species
UGGGGAAUAUUGCACAAUGGGCGCAAGCCUGAUGCAGCCAUGCCGCGUGUGUGAAGAAGGCCUUCGGGUUGUAAAGCACUUUCAGUGGGGAGGAAGGCGAUAAGGUUAAUAACCUCAUCGAUUGACGUUACCCGCAGAAGAAGCACCGGCUAACUCCGUGCCAGCAGCCGCGGUAAUACGGAGGGUGCAAGCGUUAAUCGGAAUUACUGGGCGUAAAGCGCACGCAGGCGGUUUGUUAAGUCAGAUGUGAAAUCCCCGGGCUCAACCUGGGAACUGCAUCUGAUACUGGCAAGCUUGAGUCUCGUAGAGGGGGGUAGAAUUCCAGGUGUAGCGGUGAAAUGCGUAGAGAUCUGGAGGAAUACCGGUGGCGAAGGCGGCCCCCUGGACGAAGACUGACGCUCAGGUGCGAAAGCGUGGGGAGCAAACAGG